GACGAACGCUGGCGGCGUGCUUAACACAUGCAAGUCGAACGCUGAAGCCCGCUUCGGUGGGUGGAUGAGUGGCGAACGGGUGAGUAACACGUGGACACUCUGCCCUGCACUGCGGGAUAAGCCUUGGAAACGGGGUCUAAUACCCGAUAGGACAUUGCAUCGCAUGGUGUGGUGUGCAAAGCGGUUAAUGCGGUGCGGGAUGAGUCAGCGGCCUAUCAGCUUGUGGGUGGGGUGAUGGCCUACCAAGGCGACGACGGGUAGCCGGCCUGAGAGGGUGACCGGCCACACGGGGACUGAGACCCGGCCCAGACUCCUACGGGAGGCAGCAGUGGGGAACCUUGCGCAAUGGGCGGAAGCCUGACGCAGCAACGCCGCGUGGGGGAUGACGGCCUUCGGGUUGUAAACCUCUUUCGGCAUCGACGAAGGCUCUCGUGUUCGGGGGUUGACGGUAGGUGCAGAAGAAGCACCGGCUAACUACGUGCCAGCCGCCGCCGUAA
rnacentral:rRNA from 1 species